UACGAAGGGGGCUAGCGUUGUUCGGAUUUACUGGGCGUAAAGCGCACGUAGGCGGAUUGGUCAGUUAGGGGUGAAAUCCUGGAGCUCAACUCCAGAACUGCCUUUAAUACUGCCAGUCUCGAGUCCGGAAGAGGUAAGUGGAACUCCUAGUGUAGAGGUGGAAUUCGUAGAUAUUAGGAAGAACACCAGUGGCGAAGGCGGCUUACUGGUCCGGUACUGACGCUGAGGUGCGAAAGCGUGGGGGAGCAAACAGG
rnacentral:rRNA from 1 species